rnacentral:rRNA from 1 species
AUUGAACGCUGGCGGCAGGCCUAACACAUGCAAGUCGAGCGGAGCGGCGGACGGGUGAGUAAUGCCUAGGAAUCUGCCUGGUAGUGGGGGAUAACGUCCGGAAACGGGCGCUAAUACCGCAUACUAUCAGAUGAGCCUGGGUCGGAGUAGCUAGUUGGUGGGGUAAGGGCCUACCAAGGCGACGAUCCGUAACUGGUCUGAGAGGAUGAGCAGCAACACUGAAACUGAGACACGGUCCAGACUCCUACGGUAGGCAGCAGGGGGGAAUAUUGCACAAUGGGCGUAAGCCUGAUCAAGCCAGUCCGCGUGUCUGAAGAAGGCCUUCGGAUUGUAAAGUCCUUCCAGUGCGGAGGCGUUACCAACAGAAGAAGCACCGGCUAUCUUCUUGCCAGCAGCCGCGGUAAUUC